GUGAAUCAUCAAAUUUUUGAACGCAAAUUGCACUCUCUUCGGAGAGUAUGCCUGUUUGAGGGUCAGUAUCAACAAAAAAUCGGUUUGGUUGCAAAUUGUGACGUUUCCGGAGUUUGGGCUUAUCUUAAUUUUUUUGGUUAAGGGGCUUAAAAUUGACCUUAUUUGGGCAUUUUUAGAGGUACAUAAUUUUUUUUUUAUUCGUCUAUGGUUAAUGCCAAACUCUUAUUAGUUGCGAUCACAUCGG
rnacentral:misc_RNA from 1 species